GACUCAAGAAAGAGGAAAGGAUGAGGGAGAAAGAGAGGACACACACGCCCGAGGUCAGAAACCAAGCAGCCACCAGCCAGCCAGAGACUGGAGGAAGCAGGAAAGUAAGAUAUACAGAAAAAGAAAGGUAAAAAGCCCUCAGGCAAAAUGUCGAUGAGAAGAUACAAGAUAAUUUAAGUUGUAAGAGCUGGGGACAAGCAUAAGACAAGACCAACCAUUCAUAACUAAUAAUGUCUCCAUGUCAUGAUUUGGGAGCUGUUUGGUGGACCAAAAGAGAAAGCCUAUUACACCUCUGCAAAAUGACUUUGGAAUAGUGGCGUUUACAUUAAGUGGAAGGUUAACUGAGGAUGAGAUUCUAAGAUGUAGCUUCCAUGAGGUCAUUAUCCACGAUGGACUGAAACUUGAUGAUGUCGUGGUGUUGGAGUCACUCACACCCCUGGGAACAGCCCCUCACCUACUUUCUGUGGAUCGGAUAUAGAAGAUGCUGAAGAUGGAAGAGAUUUAAGAAGGCAGCGGACAAAACUGGUACAGGACCUCGACAGAAGCAAGGUGACAAAUGACAACGUGGACGGACAGAUGGGGCGAUGAAACACCCUCUGAUGUCCUACGGGUGUCUAUGGAGGGUAGCCUGGUGCACACUGACCCAUGUGGGCACUGGCCCUGGCCACUUGGUAAAGGGAAUUGGAAGCCUGAGCUGGAGAUUCGGGGAAGUACUACGGGAAGGAGAAACUGCUCGCUAGGGACUAGAUAUUUACAAUUACUAUUUGAAAAGUCAGAUAUCUCGGAAUUCCUGCAGUUUGACUUAACAACUCGGAAUACAGAAUUUGUUUAAACCUGCAGGUUGCUUUCUGUCUUCUUGCUCAGAUUUUGAGCGCUACAGAGAAGUAUAAAGGCGCCAUCUAGUGGAAAAAUAACAAACUUAAAGUAUUUACAACUCAACAGUCAGUGUCACCUUGAAGAUGAAGCGUCCUUCCCCUCUUCCUCACCCUUCAAAAAGGCUCUGUAAUUGAAAGGCUGUUCUCGGAUGGUGACUUCAUGGUGGGAUCUGCGAAUUUGAGGAGGUGGGAACCACCUGGAGGAAGUAGGUUACUUCUUCCUGGCCUGCUGUCUGGUUCAGGUCCACAAGGGCUCAGUGUUGGGGCCAAGUAACAGUAGAUUGGUUGGACUCAAGCCAUGAGCCAAAAUAAAUCUUACCUUCCCGAGGUUGCUAACGUUGAGUGCUAUGUCUCGGGGACCAGAAAAGAAGCAAUGCAUAGUUUCACACAAUAACAUCCUACAGGUCAAGGCAUGAAAACACUGCAGUUGAGCCCACGUUUUGUAACAGGCGGAAGAAGCUCGUCAGUGACAGCUAGCUCCAGGAGAGAAGGCGAAAGGAGGACGUGCUGGGUACUGCACAGAUGUGCUCCCUUGGUGUGGAGGAGUGAAUCUCCCCAUUGGGUGUUUUGUAGCCCAGAGUAUUUUUAUGUAUGAACUAUGGGCAGGCACCAAAUAUCCAGAAUUAAGGUAUUGCACAUAGCUAAAUACUAAAAAUUUAAAAAGUACACUUUUCUUAGGUACUUCUCAGAGAAGACUGAACUACCUCCUCUCUUUAGUGAUUGCAUCCUAACAUUUUUCUAUAUGAAAUGUAAUAAGUAAGUAAUAAAGGACACUAGCAUUUGUCUGUUGAUUGUGAAGUUGGGACAAUGUUAGUUCCUAGCUCUGUUUUAUCCUAUGAGCAUUUUGGGUCAGUUACUUUGAUCUUUGGGGCUUGUUGUCUUUGCUUUGUCCUGCUCAGAACUGUGUCCCUUUUUACCCUACUCUCUUGGCUUACACUAACUCUUCUCUCUCCACCAUCUCUUAGGACCCUUUGAAUCCUACUUAUUUCAGUUUGGAAGUAUAGAUUUUGCACAACUAUUUUCACUGGCUCAUACUAAAUAGACUAUGACCUUCAUGAAAUGAGGGUAAUUUAUUGACUGAUGCCUAAAUUCCCAAAGCUCAAUAAGACACUAUCACAUAAUUAUGCUCAGUAAAUGAUUUUCACUUUGGAAUAGUUAUUUGUAUAGUUAUUAACACACUGAUUGAAAAUGAUGUGGACACAGUUGAAAUACUACAUUAGAAUAAGGUCCAUGCCAGGACAAAACUCAGGUGUUUAGAGUACAGGGAGCUGUUUGAGGAUGCUGAAGUUUCCACCGAGACCAUGUUUGCUCCUAAAUUACCUUUCCCUGUGCUGUGGCUGUUUCCAACACUCUUUUCUGUUGAGCACAUUCGUUACUUAGCUCUUUAUAGAGGCAAACUCAUUGGUAGAUCUUAGGGAUGCUAGGCUUGCCUACCUCAUCUCCAUCAGUCUGUUUUUUACCUAAACACUGCAAAUGAGAGCAUAGGUUAGGCAGGGAUAGUUUCCCAGGUAAAUCCAUCAAGAUGCAUCUUCCAAGUGCCACUUCCUGGUAAACCACUCUCUCCUAAACACAUAAAAAUUAUGGAGUCUGCAUUCAUACCCUAAAUUGUGCUUGUCCGAACCAAUUUGAGAAAAUACAGAGAGAAAAUUGAAAAAGCCACUGAAGGGAUCAUCCAUUAAAAACACUUGUUGGGUAUACUUGAGGAUUGGAAUUUGAUGCCCAGCAUCCAUGGGAAACCUGUACAGUGGACUUGUCACGUGACUUAAUAGGUACAGACAUUUGCCACCAAGUCUGAACACCUAACACCCAUCUCUGGAUCACAUGUGGUGGAAGGAGAUAAUUGACUAAUGAAGAUUGUCAGUUAAUCUCCACAUAGACUUUAUGACGUGUGUGUUCACUCACACCUGUCACACAGAACGAGGGGAAUAGAAAUUUAAGCUGGGCAUGAUGGCAUGUGUUCUCAAUCCCAGCUUUGGGAGGUGGAGACAGAAAGGACCCUGGACUUGCUGGAUAGCUAGCUUAGCCUAAUUAGGAAGCUCCAAAUUCUAGUAAGAUACUUUGCCAAACAGAGUGAGUGGCUCAUGAAGAACAGUGCAAAAUCUGGUCUUUGCCCUGCCCGUAUUUACACACCUGCACAUACAUGAACA